GGGCCUGUAGCUCAGCGGUAGAGCAGCGGACUCAUAAUCCGUCUGGUCGCUGGUUCGAAUCCAGCCGGGCCCA
rnacentral:tRNA from 1 species